CAUAGGCUCCAAUAAUAAGUUUUUGAGCUAAAAUGGGAGGUGGCCACCACCGCCAUUUUGACCGUGUCACAAGCUCCGUCAAGCCCAGACAAUUCCACAAAAGGGAAGUGAGGUGGAGCUGAGGGUGGGGCUGUAAGGAUGGGAUCAACUGACGACACCCGGUCGAACUAGCUACAAGCUAACCUGAAGCUAACCCAAAGCUAACGCGGAGGUGGGAGAUAAGCUAACGGAGGUAGCAACCUAGCUACAACCGGAGUUAACUGUGCACAACACCAGAGCUUCUGAGUCAGAGAUACGCCGGGCUGACCGCUGGGUAAAACCGGGUGGAACACAGAGGUCACUGAGACCUCCAGAAGCCGGCAGCCGCACAGCAGACAGAAGCCGCGAUCAGACAGAGAUGCGCCGAGCUGCGGGGAGGGGAGAACGGGUGGAAAACAUCGGUCUCCCGAGAGCUCCACAAGCCGAUAGUCAGAACCCAGCUCCACCAACAUGUUAUAUUUCAACCCAUUUUCUAAAGUGCAGCAUUAUGUUAAAUGCACUGGGUUUUACCCUAUUACAUUUAAAUUUCAUGGUUAAACAGUACAUGUUAAAAUCUAAGCUCAGCUCGGCAGUGACCUAAAAUACAUAAAUAUAGUUUUACUUACCGAAAAAAAUGAAGUGGAGACUCCUUGGACGCUCUGUUAGUGCAAUUAAUGCCACAGCAAGUCAUUUUGUCCAACAAUUGCACAAAUAAUAUCAAAAAAAGAAUACACAAACACAGAGACUCAAAAUCCCAGAACAGUUUCCUGGCCAGACCGAGGCUCUACUGAGGCCUUUCCACAGAGCUAGCUCUGUGGUCACGUGGGUCUGAUGCUCAUUAAUUAUACAGAAUUUUAGGCUUUUAAUACACUUAAAGAGCGGGUCAAUUGAGCCUCGGAGACUUCUCCACCCACGUAUCAAUUUUAAAAAAUGCAACAUUAGUAGGCGUUGCCUGGAGGACCGAGAGGGCGGAGCCGCGGCAGUGACGAAGACGACGGCUAACUAGACGAUGCUAGCUCCCUUCACUCUAUGCAGUUAUUAGAAAUGGAGGACGUUUCUCCCCCUCCUUACCCAGACACUCGAGAAGAAAGGGACCAAGUCUAUUUGGAGGAGACAAGCGGACCUGAGCCUUAUUGUUGUGAGCUUGUGAGUUGCCUGUAACUCCCAGAACCGACCCAACAGAACCACCUCUGAAUGUCCUCUGGUGUCUGCAGCUGGUCUCUGGUGUCUGCAGGUGGUCUCCUCUGCUGGUGUCGUCAGGAUCAGGAGCUUCCAGAAGAAUGUGCCUUUCAAUGACUCUUUCCCCCUUAUUUGUUAUAUUAAUUAAAUAAAUCUCAAUUUAUAUA